AUUGAACGCUGGCGGCAUGCUUUACACAUGCAAGUCGAACGGUAACAGGUUAAGCUGACGAGUGGCGAACGGGUGAGUAAUGCAUCGGAACGUGCCCGAUCGUGGGGGAUAACGCAGCGAAAGCUGCGCUAAUACCGCAUACGAUCUGAGGAUGAAAGCGGGGGACCGUAAGGCCUCGCGCGAUCGGAGCGGCCGAUGUCAGAUUAGGUAGUUGGUGGGGUAAAGGCCCACCAAGCCGACGAUCUGUAGCUGGUCUGAGAGGACGACCAGCCACACUGGGACUGAGACACGGCCCAGACUCCUACGGGAGGCAGCAGUGGGGAAUUUUGGACAAUGGGCGAAAGCCUGAUCCAGCAAUGCCCCGUGCAGGAAGAAGGCCUUCGGGUUGUAAACUGCUUUUGUACGGAGCGAAAAGGUCCUUUCUAAUACAAGGGGCUCAUGACGGUACCGUAAGAAUAAGCACCGGCUAACUACGUGCCAGCCGCCGCGGUAAUAC
rnacentral:rRNA from 1 species